UACAGGGGGGGCAAGCGUUGUUCGGAAUUACUGGGCGUAAAGGGCUCGUAGGUGGCCAACUAAGUCGGACGUGAAAUCCCUCAGCUUAACUGGGGAACUGCAUCCGAUACUGGAUGGCUUGAGUUUGGGAGAGGGAUGCGGAAUUCCAGGUGUAGCGGUGAAAUGCGUAGAUAUCCGGAGGAACACCAAUGGCGAAGGCAGCACUCUGGGACGUGACUGACGCUGAGACGCGAAAGCGUGGGGAGCAAACAGG
rnacentral:rRNA from 1 species